rnacentral:rRNA from 1 species
GCCAGACUCCUACGGGAGGCAGCAGUGGGGAAUAUUGCACAAUGGGGGAAACCCUGAUGCAGCGACGCCGCGUGAGUGAAGAAGUAUUUCGGUAUGUAAAGCUCUCUCAGCAGGGAAGAAGAAAGACGGUACCUGACUAAGAAGCCCCGGCUAACUACGUGCCAGCAGCCGCGGUAAUACGUAGGGGGCAAGCGUUAUCCGGAUUUACUGGGUGUAAAGGGGGCGCAGACGGCGAUGCAAGCCAGGAGUGAAAGCCCGGGGCCCAACCCCGGGACUGCUCUUGGAACUGCGUGGCUGGAGUGCAGGAGGGGCAGGCGGAAUUCCUGGUGUAGCGGUGAAAUGCGUAGAUAUCAGGAGGAACACCGGUGGCGAAGGCGGCCUGCUGGACUGCAACUGACGUUGAGGCCCGAAAGCGUGGGGAGCAAACAGGAUUAGAUACCCCGGUAU